rnacentral:rRNA from 1 species
GGUCAGGCUGAAGACCUUACCCGAUUAGCUGAGAGGGGUGCAUGGCCGUCGUCAGUUCGUACUGUGAAGCAUCCUGUUAAGUCAGGCAACGAGCGAGACCCACGUCCACAGUUGCCAGCAUACCCUCCGGGGUGAUGGGUACACUGUGGAGACCGCCGCUGCUAAAGCGGAGGAAGGAGUGGGCAACGGUAGGUCAGUAUGCCCCGAAUCUCCCGGGCUACACGCGGGCUACAAUGGUUGGUACAAUGGGCAUCUACCCCGAAAGGGGAAGGAAAUCUCUUAAAGCCAAUCGUAGUUCGGAUUGAGGGCUGCAACUCGCCCUCAUGAAGCUGGAAUCCGUAGUAAUCGCGUUUCAACAGAACGCGGUGAAUACGUCCCUGCUCCUU